UAGCAUGAAGUCAAACAAGACAGCGAG
rnacentral:rRNA from 1 species